GGGGGUUCGAUCAUGGCUCCGUUGAACGCUGGCGGGAUGCACUUUACAUGCAAGUCGAACGGCGGCACGGACUUCGGUCUGGUGGCAGUGGCGAACGGGUGAGUAAUGUAUCGGAACGUGCCUGGUAGCGCGCUGGCGGGGAUAACUGCGCGAAAGCGUAGCUAGCUUCCGCAUACGCCCUUCGGGGAAAGCAGGGACCUUCGGGCCUCGCCGCUAUUAGAGCGGCCGAUAUCGGAUUAGCUGGUUGGUGGGGUAACGGCUGCAAGGCGAUCCGUAGCUGGUUUGAGACGACCAGCCACACCAGGACUGAGACACGGCCCAGGCUCCUGCGGAGGCAGCAGUGGGGAAUUUUGGACAAUGGAAACCCUGAUCCAGCCAUCCCCGCGUGUGCGAUGAAGGCCUUCGGGUUGUAAAGCACUUUUGGCGGGAAAGAGCGCGCGGAUAAUACCCGUGCAGCUGACCGUACCUGCAGAAUAGCGCCGAUAACUACGUGCCAGCAGCCGCGGUAAUACGUAAGUGCAAGCGUUAAUCGGAAUUACUGGGCGUAAAGCGUGCGCAGGCGGUUCGGAAAGAAAGAUGUGAAAUCCCAGAGCUUAACUUUGGAACUGCAUUUUUAACUACCGAGCUAGAGUGUGUCAGAGGGAGGUGGAAUUCCGCAUGUAGCAGUGAAAUGCGUGAAUAUGCCGGAGGAACACCGAUGACGAAGCAGCCUCCUGGGACACUGACGCUCAUGCACGAAAGCGUGGGAGCAGCAGGAUUAGAUGCCGCGACGGUCCCGCCCCUGACGAUAUCAGCUGGCUGUUGGGGCCUUCGGGCCUUGGUAGCGCAGCUAACGCGUGAAGUUGACCGCCUGGGGAAAUACGGUCACAAGAUUAAAACUCAAAGGAAUUGACGGGAUUCACACAAGCGGUGGAUGAUGUGGAUUAAUUCGAUGCAACGCGAAAACCUUACCUACCCUUGACAUGUCUGGAAUCCCGAAGAGAUUUGGGAGUGUGCUCAUAAAGAGAACCGGAACACAGGUACUGCAUGGCUGUCAUCGUCAGCUCGGUAAAUGUGAUGUUGGGUUAGUCCUGAGCAGCGUAAUCACAUUAGUUGCUACGAAAGGGCACUCUAAUGAGACUGCCGAUGGAAACCGGAGGAAGGUGGGGAUGACGUCAGAGUCCUCAUGGCCCUUAUGGGUAGGGCUUCACGUCAUACAAUGGUGGGACGGAGUCGCCAACCCGCGAGGGGCAAUCCGAAACUGAUCGUAGUCCGGAUCGCAGUCUGCAACGAAAGCAGGCGUGAGUGGAAUCGCUAGUAAUCGCGGAUCCCAGCGUGUCGCGGUGAAUACGUUCCCGGGUCUUGUAUUUACACCGCCCGUCACACCAUGGGAGUGGGUUUUACCGAAGUAGUUAGCCUAACCGUAAGGAGGGCGAUUACCACGGUAGGAUUCAUGACUGGGGUGAAGUCGUAACAAGGUAA
rnacentral:rRNA from 1 species